rnacentral:rRNA from 1 species
GAUGAACGCUGGCGGCGUGCUUAACACAUGCAAGUCGAACGAACCUUCGGGUUAGUGGCGGACGGGUGAGUAACGCGUGGGAAUCUGCCCUCAGGAGGGGGAUAACGGCUGGAAACGGCCGCUAAUACCCCAUAUGCCGAGAGGUGAAAUGAAUUUCGCCUGAGGAUGAGCCCGCGUCUGAUUAGCUAGUUGGUGAGGUAAGAGCUCACCAAGGCAUCGAUCAGUAGCUGGUCUGAGAGGAUGAUCAGCCACACUGGGACUGAGACACGGCCCAGACUCCUACGGGAGGCAGCAGUGGGGAAUUUUCCGCAAUGGGCGAAAGCCUGACGGAGCAACGCCGCGUGAGGGAUGAAGGCCUCUGGGCUGUAAACCUCUUUUCUCAAGGAAGAAGAUCUGACGGUACUUGAGGAAUAAGCCACGGCUAAUUCCGUGCCAGCAGCCGCGGUAAUACGGGAGUGGCAAGCGUUAUCCGGAAUUAUUGGGCGUAAAGCGUCCGCAGGCGGCCCUUCAAGUCUGCUGUUAAAAAGUGGAGCUUAACUCCAUCAUGGCAGUGGAAACUGUUGGGCUUGAGUGUGGUAGGGGCAGAGGGAAUUCCCGGUGUAGCGGUGAAAUGCGUAGAUAUCGGGAAGAACACCAGUGGCGAAGGCGCUCUGCUGGGCCAUAACUGACGCUCAUGGACGAAAGCCAGGGGAGCGAAAGGGAUUAGAUACCCCUGUAGUCCUGGCCGUAAACGAUGAACACUAGGUGUCGGGGGAAUCGACCCCCUCGGUGUCGUAGCCAACGCGUUAAGUGUUCCGCCUGGGGAGUACGCACGCAAGUGUGAAACUCAAAGGAAUUGACGGGGGCCCGCACAAGCGGUGGAGUAUGUGGUUUAAUUCGAUGCAACGCGAAGAACCUUACCAGGAUUUGACAUCCUGCGAACCUCUUGGAAACGAGAGGGUGCCUUCGGGAACGCAGUGACAGGUGGUGCAUGGCUGUCGUCAGCUCGUGUCGUGAGAUGUUGGGUUAAGUCCCGCAACGAGCGCAACCCACGUCUUUAGUUGCCAGCAUUUAGUUGGGCACUCUAGAGAGACCGCCGGUGAUAAACCGGAGGAAGGUGUGGAUGACGUCAAGUCAUCAUGCCCCUUACAUCCUGGGCUACACACGUACUACAAUGCUACGGACAAAGAGCAGCAAGUUCGCGAGGACAAGCAAAUCUCAUAAACCGUGGCUCAGUUCAGAUCGUAGGCUGCAACUCGCCUACGUGAAGGAGGAAUCGCUAGUAAUCGCAGGUCAGCAUACUGCGGUGAAUACGUUCCCGGGCCUUGUACACACCGCCCGUCACACCAUGGAAGUUGGCCACGCCCGAAGCCGUUACUCCAACCCUCGGGAGGAGGACGUCGAAG